ACAGAAUGCGUACGGCAAGGCGAAGAAGCCGUGUCCGAGGUGUCCAUGCUCCUGCAGUCCUGUGGUGACCCUGUGGAGCUGGAUCCGGCCUCGUGGAAACACAGCCGGCUCAUCAGUCACAAAGUAGGAGCUGAAGAGAACAGUCUAAUGCUGAUAUUACACCUGAUUAUAUAGUGCUUAACUUGUGGUUAGCAGUGACAAAGGCAUUGCACUAAAGAUUGAGAGUAUGUCUUAAUACGCAGCGCUUAUCUGGCGAAUAGGAGAGCAGAAGGUGAGAACAAUGUUUUGAGAUGAGGUAUGCUUCAUCUGUGUAGUGAAAUCGUGUUUAUUAUUUGUGUAACGUCAGUGCACUCACUUGCUUAAGUAUAACGUUUACUGCAGCUUACAGCUUCUGUCGAUGCAGGUGCUUCUCUACUGGAAACAACCUUUCAUUUACCAAAUAAAGUUUUCAUUUUGUAGUUUUACAAGUUUCCUCUUGUGUUUUAGUCUCUUCUGAAUCUGGAAGAUCUGACUGAAUGCAUGGGUAUCAGAGUUUGUACUCCAUCACAUUUAAUGGUACAUUUCACCUCGCGAUAGCCGACACACUGCAAAUUCAACUGUUUUUAUGAAACACCUUGCUCUUGCUGCUCACAAGGCUAUAAAAACUGCCAAGUGAUUGAGUCGUCCACUUGUGGAGCACAUUUUGACACACAGUGUCAAGGCCUGUACAAACAGUUGCAGAAAUCUCUUGCCUGGCAUGCAUGAUGCGUGAUGGUGUCUCCAUCAUUUUUUUCUCAGUGUUUUUUUUUCUUUUUCAUCCUUUGUCACAACACCAAUCUUUUUUUUCUUUUGUUUAGCUUUUUUGUUCAUGUGAGAGCCUGCCAUUGCUAUUUUCGGUGCUUCCGCCUUUGCUGUGCCAGUCACUGGCAUUAAGUCUCUCUUGCCUAGGUGUACAUCCCGAUGACUUUGUAGGUGUGCCAUAAACAAUUUAAUCGCAGGGUAUUAAAUCUCGAGCAUAUCAUAUAAGGGAAUUAGCUUUUAGUUUUUCUGUUUUUUGUGUGGGAAGGCCUCUAACCCUUUGUGACGAAAUUUCAUUUUGGUGACAUACAACUGAUCAUACUUCACGAGUUGUUUCCAAUGGCUACAUUUUUUGUGCGUCGAAAGUUCACACAGUUGCCAAGUUCCAUAGUGCACACAUGCCUCAAGGACUUCACAGCUUGAUAGGUCUUGUCUCAUACUAUUGCCACUUAGUUCGGCAUUUUAUGUCAACUGUUGAUCUUGUUGACUGGGUUGCUUCUUGGCAAUACCGAAUUUAUGACAUAGUACUCAGCAUGAAAGAAUGCUUUAAAACCAUUGUGCUGUCCACUUGCCUCAUCAUGCCACUGUGUCAUGUUGAUCUCACUUCUCUAUCGGAAGUCAGAUAAGUACAUAACAUGCAUGCCAUGUAAAGUUGAAAGCUCAGUUAAAUACUUGAUCAAAAGAACUGCUUCCGCCUCCAACUUUUUUCCACACUUCUUAGUCUGUUUUAAGGCCUCACCAAAUACUGUGGUUGCUAACAUGUCCUAUGGUGGAAAAUGUUCGCUGUCAGAUGACCUGAAUUGUUAUGUCAGACAGCGUAAGUGAAAGACGCUGGAACUGUGCUACAAUGGUGUUGUCCUGACCUCUUGAGUUGCCAGGAUGGCUUAUUUUCCUGAAAACCAUAGUAGUAGUCAGAAGAAUGGCAGAGUCAGAAUGGCAUUUAUGAAAGCUCCAUUCAGAUUCUGCAAGACAUUUUCCUGAAGCCAGGCCUGGCAGUGUUGGUUAAUUUUGGAAGCUCUGAGUUAGUUUGAUGCGAUCUUUUCGUGGAGUUUUCUUCAUUGCUGUUUCUUGAUUAUGUAGAUAGUGGCACAGGCUUUCUUAGGAGCCAUUGCUUCAAUAGGCAUUUCCUAGAAAGAAAUGUUGGUUGUCUCUAUAUCUGGAUCGUACUCGGAAAAAUCCUUUUUUGAUGUUUUUCGAGCUGGCCUACAUGACACAUAAUUCAGAUGCUUAUAACUGAAAGGCCGUGUUCUUGGUACUUAGUGCAGAAAUUUUGAAGUCAUUUCUUCUAUUAAAAUUAGCUGAAUAUCACUGUUCCUGGAUUCCUGUCAUUUGACAGGCGCUCCUGAGACAUUUGACAGGCACUCCUGUUGUGUACUUGUGCUUGUAUCUGCUAUGGCAUCAGACUAAUCAGUUAGUUUGCUUUGCACAGCCAAACAUCACCUCACAAAGCUUCGCUUGAGUACUUAGCUCUCACUGCGACUGCGCAAGUGCAGAGGUAUGUACCGAUGACAUAAUGCUUGUUGAUUAGGAUGACAGUGCAGUAAGAGGCACAUCUGUGGCAAACAGAGCAUACACAUUGUGAAUGUUAGCAUUUAUGCUGUUGGACACAUCAAGAAUCUCAUGAGUAUUAUAAGCUUUUUGGAGUCGGCUCUCCUAGGCAACUUGAUCUGUGCAUUGGUGUCAUGUCUAAAGGCUCUCAACUCUGCCAAGCGAGAUAUUCAGGUGCUCUGUUCCGAGGUAUGGAGGGUCUAGCUGUUGACUCGUCCAUUAUUAUAAACCAGCCCUGGCUCCUGGUCCUUAGCAGGACACAAGCACUGUGUUGUCCACUUUCUGUAGCCAACGCAGCUGCCAUCUAAUAUUAUGCAGUGCAGUUUGACGUGAUGGGGAUGCCAUAUUAGGUGCGAGUCAUGCGUGUCAAAGUGGUGCCUGCAUUGUGGUUCUCAAUAGUUUGCUGAGUGCUUGAAGUCUGAAUGCUUCGCCGAAUCCGGAGUCCUCCACUACUGCAUCUUUCAUAACCUGUGCAGUUUCAGAAUGUUAAACCUCAUAAUUUAAUUUUUGAAAUAAUUCAGGCAGCCAUAGGAGUGCGAUAUGGCAUAUUGUGUGAAAGACCGAAUUGACACUGGCGAUUGACAGAGGUCACAUGAUCGAAUGCGACUGGUGGCUAAAGAUUCACUCGUAGUGACCAGUGGUCACAGUGGCUAGUGCGACCUGUCCCUCACCGCACCAAAAUAUCACACAGGGUGCGUACAGGUCCUUGAAAUCUUUGAAAACCCUUGAAAUUGAAAAGUGUGUUUUCAAGGCCCUUCAAAGUCCUGGAAUUUUUUCCUUCCUUGAAAAUCCUUGAAUUUCAUGAGCAAUGCACUCUGAUAUCAACAUUGGGACCUCCUUUCUGUGGUAGAUCGGCAUCGAUCUGACCAACUCCCCAUUUCAGAAACAAUACGCCGGCGCGAGCACACAUGGUUACGUUUUGCAGAACUGCACGAGAAAAAAUGAAAGGCUUCGUCGCGUCAAACCGCGAACGGAGUGAGAGACCCGUGCCGCGCAACGCUGCUGGCUCAGCUGGCAGUGUUUACACUGCUUUCCUCACCCUAUCGUUCGUUUCACUCUUCGCCCGUCGGCUUGCCUUUCCGCUUUCACUCUUGCGUGCGAAGUGAAGCUAAAGAGAGCAAUAGUGCAGCAACUUUACAACUGAUGCUCAGUGCCUUUGCAAUAACAUAACCGUAUUUUCCGGUCAAUAAGUCGCACCUUUGUGUAAGACGCACUCCCUCACAACGGCAGUUUUUCCGAAAAAAAAAAAAGUAUACAAGUCGCAUCGAUGUAUAAGACGCACGUGUUCUUUCAGUAAGCGAUUUAAACAAGUUAGUGACGUUUCGCUCCGGGAAUGUGGGUCACGCGCAAGCGUAUGGGUGCCAUGUAUUUCCACUCCAGGCGCAUUUCUGCUGUUGUGGUUGCCGCGAUGUUUCGUGUAAAGUCCAAGGGCGAUAACAUCGUCCCCGCGUGCCAUAUGCUGUAUGUGCGAGUGAAAGCAUGCGACGGUGAGCCAACUCGCGCACAAGGGAGGAAAGCAGGAAGGCAGCCCGGGAGGGAGGGGGGGGGGGCUGCCUGUACUCUCGUAGCAACUGCGUAGUUUGCGCAGCGGCGUGCGCCGUAUCUUGACAGCUAUGUGCAGAUGUGUCGACUUCGGGGUCGAUCGACUCACGGUCGGCCUACCGCCGCUUGUGUUGCUGCUCCAUCCUUCUCGCACGGUGUUUUGGAACUUGAUCACGAGACCCCGAUAGCACACACAGAUCACGAGAACCUCGAUAGUGCGCACAGAACCCGUAGCAAUUAAGUCAACCGGCCCACUUUGCGUGGCCAAAAUUGUCAUCAAAUUCGAUUAUGACAGCAGUUUAAAAAAAAAACGUACAUAGGUCGCACCGUUCUAUAAGACGCACUGACGGAAAAUUAAGAAAAAGAAAAACGCGUCUUAUACACCGAAAAAUACGGUAUGCUGAAUGUUUUGGAAAUGUUUGAUGAACCAACCCAGCUAAUACUGCAGAAGCCUGAGCAGCUGUUGUGAGUGUUCGUUGUGUUAACUUUUAAUAUUGCGAACUUGAGAAAUAAUCAAGACAAGGCAUGUUUUGCAAAAUUGCAAUAUAGUACAUAUAUUUGUUAUAAUAUAAUGGAUGUGUAGCAAGACUACACCGAAUGGUUUGGAAAUGUUCAGUAAACUUGCCCAGGUAAUACUGGAGAAGUCAGAGUAGCUGUUGGGUGCAUUUUUGUGAACUUUUUUUUUUGGUAUUGUGAACUUGCAAAGUGAUCAAGGCUAGACGUUAAGAUCAUUGGGAUAUACAUUUUAUUUCUCUUUGGUUUGAAUAUUUUUGGAGAACUUUACCCACCCUAUACUGGAGAAAUCUCAGCCGCUGUUGUAAGCGUUCAUUUUGUGUUGUGAUCUUGAGAAGUUAUCAAGGCUAGACAUUUUUAUUAUAAUUGUGAUGUACAUUUAUUUAUUGUAAGUGCAAUAAAACUAGUCAUUUUUGGAAAUGUUAGAGUAAAGAAAUCCUACUUUGGAUGCUGCUUUGAGUCCUUGAAAAACCUGUGACAGGUCCUGGAAAGUCCUGGAAUAUCCUUGAAUUUUUUACUUGUAAACCUGUACGAACCCUGAUUCACAAUUCAUGCCAUUCACGUCUGCCCGCACAUAAAUUAUGUGUUUACAUGACAAAUCGUGUUUGUUUUUAUCCCUUUAUGGUCCACGAUGUGUGAUGGUUAUGUCAUUAGCUGCAACGUUAGUACCUGUGGACAUAGCAAUGAUUGCAACAGUCACCCUCAAGUUCUCCAUGUGAGUCAGUGCAAGCUUUGGAACCACACUGUUAAUGGUUCUGCUGUAUUGCUUUAGCUACAUAACCUCCUUCCUAGCUUUUCUUUCAAAUCUUUCUGCAAUUCCUCAUUCUCUCUACGACACUGUGCAAUUUCAACUUUAGCAGCAGCCAUUUCCUAAAAAAAGAAAAGCUUCAACAUCUGCCUUGAAUAGCGCAAAAUGCUCAUUCAUGAAGCCAAUAGCUUCCUAAAUGCUACUGAGUUUAUCAUGUAUUUCAGUACUUGAACCGACCUUUGCCUUAGCGUUCCACUACAUGAACUACUGGACGAUUGUAUUCUCAGGAAAGCACAGGCAUGAAUUAGCAAGCUACAUGUUUUCCUGCUCAAGCCUGAGGCCCCUGCAAUGGCUGAAUGGCUACGAAGUGUAGAAUUGGUUAACCUGCACGAGCUUGUGGUUGGGCAUUUGGAGAUGCUUAGGUUUGGGUUGGUUUCAGCACUGACUAACCAUACUAUGCACAUUGCUCAGUGCUUGAAUAUAUUUGGGAGCAUUAUCCAGAUGCUGUAGUGACUUUCUGAAUGUUUUUUCAUGCAAUACCCUGCCAGCCACAAAUAUGAGGCUGUGUGCGGUAACUGUUUCCGGUCUGAACUUAUUUUAAUGAAGUAAAAACUAUAUUACAUGCAUCUGAACGACACGAGCCAAGGAAAAAUUGUAAGAAUUUCCACUCUAUAAUCUUUGCAAUGAAUCGAACGGUUUUCUCAUAAACUGCCGAAAACUGAAAUGUGUUGUAAGCGGCAUGUUCUUCAGACAUUUUAAUUCAAACUCAUAAUGGUAUGAAAUAUGGCCACAGGCUAUACGAAAUCUGCCGUGGUUGCUCAGUGGUUAUGGUGUUGAGCUGCUAAGCACGAGGUAGCGGGAUCAAAUCCCGACCAUGUUGGCUGCAUUUCAAUGGGGGCGAAAUGCAGAAAACACCUGUGUACUUAGAUUUAGGUGCACAUUAAAGAACCCCCUGUGGUCCAAAUUUAUUUUCAAUACUGCCAGUCUCUUCCGAGACCAUAGCAGGUGGGCGUACAGAUUGUACAUGCAGGUAGAAUAAUACAUCAGCACCACACGGCAAAACAAACAGAAAUCCAAUGCAGUGACAGUCAUCACAAAAGUAUAAGAUUAAAAGGUAUCCAAAUAAGUUUGAAUAAUGAUAAUUAGGAAUGAAUACCGAGCUGAACUUCUAUGGACAACACACUUGUACCACAUAUAACUUAUACACACUUAUAAUAGAAAUAAUAUACAAAGCACACAUUUUUAUCCUCAGAUAACACAAAGUAACCAACAGCAACAGAUAACAGAAAUUAUACAUGAAAUGGAAUGGUACACAGGCAAAUAACAGCAAACCUGAAAACGCUCUGUAGUGAGCACUUGGCCACUAAUAUUCUUCCAAUGAUGGUGAAAUGCCUCUGGGGCGGAGAGCGCUACUGCAUUAACAGAUGAUACUUGCUAUUUUUGAGGCAAAGUCCGAUAAUGAGUUCGCAUUAGUAACCGAGGGAUCUAAACAAUUCCAUUCCCUGAUAGCAAGUGGAAAAAAAGAGUGCUUGAAAGUGUCAUUGUAGUAAGAGUACUGUCAGUGUGUGUGAAUGUUUGUGCCGGGUUACGCAGGAUUCUGAUGGACGAAUGUAUAAUGAUGUGUCAAUUUUGUAAUAGUUGUGAAGUAGCUGAAAAAUAAAUUUCAGGCACCCUU